rnacentral:rRNA from 1 species
CCUUUAGAUGUUCUGGGCCGCACGCGCGCUACACUGAUGCAUUCAACGAGCCUAUCCUUGACCGACAGGUCCGGGUAAUCUUUGAAUCUGCAUCGUGACGGGGAUAGAUUAUUGCAAUUAUUAAUCUUCAACGAGGAAUGCCUAGUAGGCGCAAGUCAUCAGCUUGCGUCGAUUACGUCCCUGCCCUUUGUACACACCGCCCGUCGCUCCUACCGAUUGGGUGUGCUGGUGAAAUGUUCGGAUCGGCCGUUUGUCGCGGUUUCCGCGUCAUGUGGCUGAGAAGUUCAUUAAACCCUCCCACCUAGAGGAAGGAGAAGUCGUAACA